rnacentral:rRNA from 1 species
UACAGAGGGUGCAAGCGUUAAUCGGAGUUACUGGGCGUAAAGGGCGCGUAGGCGGUCAUGCAAGUGAGAUGUGAAAUCCCCGGGCUUAACCUGGGAACUGCAUUUUAGACUGUGUGACUGGAGUACUGUAGAGGAUAGUGGAAUUUCCGGUGUAGCGGUGAAAUGCGUAGAGAUCGGAAGGAACACCAGUGGCGAAGGCGACUGUCUGGACAGAUACUGACGCUGAGGCACGAAGGCCGGGGGAGCAAACGGG